GAUGAACGCUGGCGGCGUGCUUAACACAUGCAAGUCGAACGAUGAAGCCCAGCUUGCUGGGUGGAUUAGAGGCGAACGGGUGAGUAACACGUGAGUAACCUGCCCUUAACUCUGGGAUAAGCCUGGGAAACUGGGUCUAAUACCGGAUAGGAGCGUCCACCGCAUGGUGGGUGUUGGAAAGAUUUAUCGGUUUUGGAUGGACUCGCGGCCUAUCAGCUUGUUGGUGAGGUAAUGGCUCACCAAGGCGACGACGGGUAGCCGGCCUGAGAGGGUGACCGGCCACACUGGGACUGAGACACGGCCCAGACUCCUACGGGAGGCAGCAGUGGGGAAUAUUGCACAAUGGGCGCAAGCCUGAUGCAGCGACGCCGCGUGAGGGAUGACGGCCUUCGGGUUGUAAACCUCUUUCAGUAGGGAAGAAGCGAAAGUGACGGUACCUGCAGAAGAAGCGCCGGCUAACUACGUG
rnacentral:rRNA from 1 species